rnacentral:rRNA from 1 species
UACGGAGGGUGCAAGCGUUAUCCGGAUUCACUGGGUUUAAAGGGUGCGUAGGUGGGCAGGUAAGUCAGUGGUGAAAUCUCCGAGCUUAACUCGGAAACUGCCGUUGAUACUAUUUGUCUUGAAUAUUGUGGAGGUAAGCGGAAUAUGUCAUGUAGCGGUGAAAUGCUUAGAUAUGACAUAGAACACCAAUUGCGAAGGCAGCUUACUACCCGAAUAUUGACACUGAGGCACGAAAGCGUGGGGAUCAAACAGG